UCUAGAUGCCAUACUUAUUUGUUAUAUUCCAAUAUCAUCAGAACUUGGGAGCUAAGCAGGGUUGGGCUUGGUUAGUACUUGGAUAGGACACUGCUGGGAAUUGUGUGCCACAGUGGGAC
rnacentral:rRNA from 1 species